rnacentral:lncRNA from 1 species
UAAUCCCGAGCUCCGACGACCUAGCCACUGCACCUCCGUCCGGCGCUGCUCGCCACCGCGACGGAGUCCCUCCCUCAGCCGACACUGCCUCCGCUCGCCGCCUGCAGAUCUGAGAUCCCCACAGCAGCCGAUCCAGAUCCGACGCCUUUCCUCCUCCAGAUCUAGAAUCGCACCGCCGCCGAGCCAACCUUCCCCGUGCCGCCGCGUCGCCAUCCCGAAGCCGCCUCGCCGCCCCGACGACCCGCGAGCUGUCCCGACGCGUCGCCGAACCGCCUGUUGCCUGCUGGUCACGGCGUUGCUGUCCUGACGCCACCCCCGGUGCCCUCGCCGGA